GACGAACGCUGGCGGCGUGCCUAAUACAUGCAAGUAGAACGCUGAAGGAGGAGCUUGCUCUUCUGGAUGAGUUGCGAACGGGUGAGUAACGCGUAGGUAACCUGCCUGGUAGCGGGGGAUAACUAUUGGAAACGAUAGCUAAUACCGCAUAACAGUAGAUGUUGCAUGACAUUUACUUAAAAGGUGCAAUUGCAUCACUACCAGAUGGACCUGCGUUGUAUUAGCUAGUUGGUGGGGUAACGGCUCACCAAGGCGACGAUACAUAGCCGACCUGAGAGGGUGAUCGGCCACACUGAGACUGAGACACGGCCCAGACUCCUACGGGAGGCAGCAGUAGGGAAUCUUCGGCAAUGGACGGAAGUCUGACCGAGCAACGCCGCGUGAGUGAAGAAGGUUUUCGGAUCGUAAAGCUCUGUUGUAAGAGAAGAACGAGUGUGAGAGUGGAAAGUUCACACUGUGACGGUAGCUUACCAGAAAGGGACGGCUAACUACGUG
rnacentral:rRNA from 1 species